rnacentral:rRNA from 4 species
AAGUCGUAACAAGGUAACCGUAGGGGAACCUGCGGUUGGAUCACCUCCUUACCUUAAAGAACUGU